UGUUUCAAUAUUGAUAUGUCUGUGCGUGAUACCAUUUUGCAGCAGUUAGCAGACAACUUAAGAACUAACCAAUAUGCUGGGGAAGGUGGAGAAUUAUGGACCAAUGCUUAAGUAAUCCAUCUUCCAGAUUUCUUGUCAUGUAAGAUUUCAGUGACUUGCCCCAAUGCCAUCAGGAUCCUCUGUGACCUAGCUACCCAGCAGAGUCUCUCCAUGGAGGAAUGGUCCUAGGUGAUGGUACCCAGGUGUCUGGUCAAGCAAGACUGCCUUAACCAUUGCUGCAAGAAUGUUUGUGGCUACUUGAUAAACCAGAAAGCUGGUUUGUUAAAUCAUCAGUCAAUUGGCUGCAGCUGUGACUGGUUACAUCAACAAAGGGCGUGUCUUCCACAAUGAGAGA